GAUGAACGCUGGCGGCGUGUCUAAUACAUGCAAGUCGAGCGAACGGACGAUAAUCUUGCUUCUCUGAUGUUAGCGGCGGACGGGUGAGUAAAAUGUGGAUAACCUACCUAUAAGACUGGUAUAACUUCGGGAAACCGGCGCUAAUACCGUAUGAUAUUUUGAACCGCAUUGGUCAAAAGUAAAAGACGGUCUUUCGGGCAGGUAUAGAUGGAUCCGCGCUGCAUUAGCUAGUUGGUAAGGUAACGGCUUACCAAGGCAACGAUGCAUAGCCGACCUGAGAGGGUGAUCGGCCACACUGGAGCUGGGACACGGUCAAGACUCCUACGGGACGCAGCAGUAGGGAAUCUUCCGCAAUGGGCGAGAGCAUGACGGAGCAACGCCGCGUGAGUGAUGAAGGUCUUCGGAUCGUAAAACUCUGUUAUUAGGGAAGAACAUAUGUGUACGUAACUGUGCACAUCUUGACGGUACCUAAUCAGAAAGCCACGGCUAACUACGUG
rnacentral:rRNA from 1 species